UACGUAGGCAGCGAGCGUUGUUCGGAUUUACUGGGCGUAAAGCGUGCGUAGGCGGUCUUGUAAGUCUGGUGUGAAAUCUCCCGGCUUAACUGGGAGGGUGCGCCGAAAACUGCAAGGCUGGAGUAUGGGAGAGGUAGGUGGAAUUCCUGGUGUAGCGGUGAAAUGCGUAGAUAUCAGGAGGAACACCAGUGGUGAAGACGGCUUACUGGACCAUGACUGACGCUGAGGCACGAAAGCGUGGGUAGCAAACAGG
rnacentral:rRNA from 1 species